CACACACCUGCACAUGCACUAAUGCCCAAAUACACACAAAGCAUCACUGCUGUGCAGGCAAUACCCAUAAUCCUAUGGCGGACAUGGACAUAUGCAAUUACGUUUUUAAGAGACAUUUGCAUAGUGUAUGGAACAUUUGAGCUGAAAAAUGAAGACCCCUUUCAGAGAUUGUAUAUGGGAAGCGCACUUGAAACAAAGCAAGGCAUACGCUAUCAAACCGCAUACUUGCACGUCAAAGGUUGGGAAUAAUGGAAAUACAGAUUUUUUUUUUUUUCUCUCUUCAUGUCGUUCCAAAUGUAUUGUUUGUUAGAUUUAUUUAAUCUGGGGGAUUUUGAUCCCAAAGUUCGUACAAGCCUUAAAACAUUUUUCUAGACUAAACCUUAAUGAGUGAAGUUCAGCACAAACUGUGAUUCCAUUAUGGCUACUAGGCCCAGAGCAGCUCAUACCGGGCCAACAGGACCACCCUUUCCACACUCCAUUUAACUACAUUAAAUAUAUAUUUUGGGCCAAAUCUCUGGUUUAAGGCUUGAGUCCAAGGGUCUCUUUACAUGGGUUAGGAAACUACACAUCUUACCUGAAAAAGGAAAUCCCAAAUGUUUGUCGAAGCCUUCCACAGAGGCUACUCAACAAAUUUUGCACUUUACUGUGUUAAAAUGAAGAAUGCUAUGUUGCAGUAAAUAAUAUCAUUGUGUUUUAAAGUAAUAUUUCCCAUGUGUGGCUUUAAUUGCAAAACAGACAAUCAUAUAUGAUUACACUUUGUUUGAUUGUGCUCUUGCGCAGAAGACAAGUGGUCUUUUUUCAGUUGCUAUUUGAUUUUGAUGAGAGGAUGAAUAUGAAUGAAGUGUAUGUACAAUUUAUAGGGCGAAACAUUAUCCUUAAAUAAUGGAAGGGUUUUCACUCUAUACAAGAUUUCUUUGUAAAAGUGCUUUCCGAGAUUUUCGCCUAACCCCAGUGUUUGUCAAAUAUUUCCUAAUGCCUAGAUUAUUUCAAAUUAUUGGUUAUGAUUUAUGUGUACAGCUGGUGAAUUGAUUUGGUAAAAAUGUUGAUCGUGUUUUCUUUUCUAAAAUGAGAUCAUGCCUGAUUAUGAUUUAAAAGCUACCUUUAUAAUUUAUUUAUUUUAUUUAUUUAGAAGUGAAACUGAACACUCCUGUUGUAGGAGGGCACAGAGCAGGCGCUGUGGGGUGUCAAUGUAAGCCUUACUCAUUUGACCUUGCAUUGCCAUUUACUUGAUGUGCUCAGAUGAUGUCAAUAUUUAUAUAUAUAUAGGGACUGUAUCUGUCAACCUCUGGCUCUCAGUCUUCUGUGCCAGGUGGCAAUAAUAAGUCUUGGAUUUCAGAUAAAAAUGCUACUUUGAGAACUCCAGUGCAGAUGGUAUAUAGCGCACUAAAAAUGCCUGUACAAGUCAUUUGUGUUUUUUAUCAAACAAUAAACACAUUGUGAUUAUAGAUAAAAGAAAAUGAUGCUGUGUCUGCCAAGAGAGCUAUUUUGAAAAGUGAUCUUACCAACCCAUCUAAGUUAGUGUAGUACUCAUAUGGUGUUCAUGAAGGUGAUCUGACCAACCCAUAUAAGUUAGUGUCGUACUCAUAUGGUGUUGAUGAAGGUGGAUAGUAAAUCCAUUAUGAAGGUACUAAUCUCAUCCAUGUAAAGCUUGUCAAAUAAACCCCUCUUAUUCA